rnacentral:rRNA from 1 species
CCUACGGGAGGCAGCAGUGGGGAAUUUUGGACAAUGGGCGCAAGCCUGAUCCAGCCAUGCCGCGUGCGGGAAGAAGGCCUUCGGGUUGUAAACCGCUUUUGUCAGGGAAGAAAAGGUUCUGGCUAAUACCUGGGACUCAUGACGGUACCUGAAGAAUAAGCACCGGCUAACUACGUGCCAGCAGCCGCGGUAAUACGUAGGGUGCAAGCGUUAAUCGGAAUUACUGGGCGUAAAGCGCGCGCAGGCGGUUAUGCAAGACAGAGGUGAAAUCCCCGGGCUCAACCUGGGAACUGCCUUUGUGACUGCAUAGCUAGAGUACGGUAGAGGGGGAUGGAAUUCCGCGUGUAGCAGUGAAAUGCGUAGAUAUGCGGAGGAACACCGAUGGCGAAGGCAAUCCCCUGGACCUGUACUGACGCUCAUGCACGAAAGCGUGGGGAGCAAACAGGAUUAGAUACCCUGGUAGUCCACGCCCUAAACCGAUGUCAACUGGUUGUUGGGAGGGUUUCUUCUCAGUAACGUAGCUAACGCGUGAAGUUGACCGCCUGGGGAGGACGGCCGCGAGUAGUUAAGUUAAAGUAAAGUUAGUUAGGCGUUGAGACGNGCGACGGACGACGACGAGGGAGGAGG